AACGAACGCUGGCGGCAUGCCUAACACAUGCAAGUCGAACGAGACCUUCGGGUCUUGUGGCGCACGGGGGCGUAACACGGGGGAACCUGCCCUUAGGUUCCGAAUAACUCCCCGUAAGGGGAGCUAAUACCGGAUGAUGUCAUCGGGGCAACGAUUUAUCGCUUUUGGGUGGGGGCGCGUUGGUUUCGGUGGUUGGUAGGGUAAUAGCAUACCAACGGGACGAUGCAUGGCUGGUCUGAUAGCAUGAUCAGCCACACUGGGACUGAGACACGGCCCAGACUCCUACGGGAGGCAGCAGUGGGUAGUAUUGGACGAUGGGCGAAAGCCUGAUCCAGCAAUGCCGCGUGAGUGAUGCAGGCCUUAGUGUUGUAAAGCUGUUUUACACGGGAUGAGAAUGACAGUACCGGGAGAAUAAGCUCCGGCUAACUCCGUG
rnacentral:rRNA from 1 species